GCGCCGAUAGUUUAAUGGUUAAAAUUUUUGCCUUCCAAGCAGACGAUCCGGGUUCGAUUCCCGGUCGGCGCACCA
rnacentral:tRNA from 1 species